CCAUCGCAUAGGUCGCCGAGAAGUCAGCUGAGCCAAGGCCAUCGCUGACACGGACAUCCCACACAGGACACACGGCACCCCAGGAGUAAGGCGGAAGGGCCGGGUCACCUACACCUACUCAUCUGAGUGUACAGUAUGGCUGUCCCCUACCUACGUGUCAUCGUAUGCAGCCAGAACAUGCUGAGGCUCUGUCACCCUCCUCUGUCAGUGUUGGUCACAGGGAAACGGACAUUUCUACCAAAGCACGUGAAGGCUACUCUUUCAGCUGUGGCUGCUAGAAAGAGGAAAUAUGGAGACACUGGUCCUCAUCCGAGAUCGUCGUUCGUGGAAUGGUAAGCGAUGGUUCUUGGUAAUGCCGGCAAUUCUUUCCACUUUCGUGCCCGAUUUCACUCAGUUCGUCUCGCGUACUUCAAUCUCAUUUUAUUUCCUUUUCCCAUUUUCAUUUAUCUCAUUUCAUUUACACUUCUAUUCGUGGAUCGAUGUGUGACUCCAGUCGAUGUAACAUAUGACAUACACACGCCAAAUCACGUUGGCCUAGUUUAAAACAACCUAUUUGUUCAUUUUAAGCACUAAGUGUUUUACCCUCACUGAUGGCAGCAGGCGGCCCUUUGACAAGGAAGCGGUGUGCGAGAA